rnacentral:rRNA from 1 species
GACGAACGCUGGCGGCGUGCUUAACACAUGCAAGUCGAACGGAAAGGCCCUGCUUUUGUGGGGUGCUCGAGUGGCGAACGGGUGAGUAACACGUGAGUAACCUGCCCUUGACUUUGGGAUAACUUCAGGAAACUGGGGCUAAUACCGGAUAGGAGCUCCUGCUGCAUGGUGGGGGUUGGAAAGUUUCGGCGGUUGGGGAUGGACUCGCGGCUUAUCAGCUUGUUGGUGGGGUAGUGGCUUACCAAGGCUUUGACGGGUAGCCGGCCUGCGAGGGUGACCGGCCACAUUGGGACUGAGAUACGGCCCAGACUCCUACGGGAGGCAGCAGUGGGGAAUAUUGCACAGUGGGCGGAAGCCUGAUGCAGCAACGCCGCGUGCGGGAUGACGGCCUUCGGGUUGUAAACCGCUUUCGCCUGUGACGAAGCGUGAGUGACGGUAAUGGGUAAAGAAGCACCGGCUAACUACGUG